CCUACGGGUGGCUGCAGUGGGGAAUUUUGGGCAAUGGGCGCAAGCCUGACCCAGCAACGCCGCGUGAAGGAUGAAAUCCCUCUGGGAUGUAAACUUCGAAAGUCGGGAAAGACAUCGCCAUGGAUAACACCCGUGGUGGAUGACGGUACCCGACGUAAGCCCCGGCUAACUACGUGCCAGCAGCCGCGGUAAUACGUAGGGGGCAAGCGUUGUUCGGAAUAACUGGGCGUAAGGGGCGAUGAGGAGGCAUGAGUGAAAGCCCGGGGCUCAACCCCGGAACUGCUUUCGAAACUGCCAAGCUAGAGUACGGAAGGGGCAACUGGAAUUCCCAGUGUAGCGGUGAAAUGCGUAGAUAUUGGGAAGAACACCGGAGGCGAAGGCGGGUUGCUGGGCCGAUACUGACGCGGAGGCGCGAAAGCCAGGGGAGCAAACGGGAUUAGAUACGUAGUC
rnacentral:rRNA from 1 species